UGGGGAAUCUUCCGCAAUGGACGAAAGUAUGACGGAGCAACGCCGCGUGAGUGAAGACGGCCUUCGGGUUGUAAAGCUCUGUGAUCCGGGACGAAAGAGCCUGAGGUAAAUAGCCUAAGGAAGUGACGGUACCGGAAAAGCAAGCCACGGCUAACUACGUGCCAGCAGCCGCGGUAAUACGUAGGUGGCAAGCGUUGUCCGGAAUUAUUGGGCGUAAAGCGCGCGCAGGCGGCUUCCUAAGUCCAUCUUAAAAGUGCGGGGCUUAACCCCGUGAUGGGAUGGAAACUGGGAAGCUGGAGUAUCGGAGAGGAAAGUAGAAUUCCUAGUGUAGCGAUGAAAUGCGUAGAGAUUAGGAAGAACACCGGUGGCGACGGCGACUUUCUGGACGAAAACUGACGCUGAGGCGCGAAAGCGUGAGGAGCAAGCAGG
rnacentral:rRNA from 1 species